UACGUAGGGUGCAAGCGUUGUUCGGAAUUAUUGGGCGUAAAGGGCUCGUAGGCGGUCCAUCGCGUCGGGAGUGAAAAGCUGGGGCUUAACCCCAGUCCUGCUUCCGAUACGGGUGGACUAGAGGUAUGCAGGGGAGAACGGAAUUCCGGGUGUAGCGGUGGAAUGCGUAGAGAUCCGGAGGAAGACCGGUGGCGAAGGCGGCCUGCUGGGCAGUUUCUGACACUGAUGCGCGACAGCGUGGGGAGCAAACAGG
rnacentral:rRNA from 1 species